rnacentral:rRNA from 1 species
UACAGAGGGUGCGAGCGUUAAUCGGAAUUACUGGGCGUAAAGCGUGCGUAGACGGUUAUUUAAGUCGGGUGUGAAAGCCCCGGGCUCAACCUGGGAAUUGCAUUCGAGACUGAAUAGCUAGGGUGCGGUAGAGGGAAGCGGAAUUUCCGGUGUAGCGGUGAAAUGCGUAGAUAUCUGGAGGAACACCGGUGGCGAAGGCGGCAUCCUGGACCGAUAUUGACGCUGAGGCGCGAAAGCCAGGGGAGCAAACAGG